rnacentral:tRNA from 1 species
UCCACAAUGGCCGAGUUGUUAUGGCAUUAGACUCAUUUUCUAAUUCACAUUUGGUGAGCGUGGGUUUGAUUCCCACUUCUGGAU